GGCCCCAUAGUGUAGUGGUUAGCACGUCUGCUUUACACGCAGAAGGUCCUGGGUUUGCGCCCCAGGUGGAGCCA
rnacentral:tRNA from 1 species